GGUGGCUCAGUGGUAGAGCACUUGUCUUGCAUGCAUGAGGUGGCCCUGGGUUCAAUUCCUCAGCACCA
rnacentral:tRNA from 1 species